rnacentral:misc_RNA from 1 species
ACCAUUCUAUAUUCCUUUGUUUGCUACCAUGCAUAUUUCCUGUAAAACGAACCAGCACAUCAGAAGAUAGCCUCAUCAGUAAUCCAAUUUGAAGAUUUCUCCUUGCUUAGUGAACUGUUGCAUUUCCUUUCACUGCUCUCCACUAAUUGUUUAAUCUCAAGUCUUUCCUUGAAAAGUGCUCUAUUUUAUAUACUCAAAGUGAAAAAGAUUUGCUUUGUAAAUUAUUAAUCUAAAUGUAACUUGCAUAAUAAAGUUAUUGCUUUAUUUUGAAAGCAUGAAGACUUUUCUUGCAUCAUAAAUGCUGACAUUUUGUUUUUAGUGAUGAUUUAAUUGUUUAUUUUUGGGGCAUUUUUCAGAUGUUGUAUUAUUUUUUUUAUAUACAGACUGAAGGGGACAGAUACCAAGGAUAUUAAUCAAUGGUGUUUGAAAUAUUAAAAUAGAAAUGCGUCAACGACUGGACUUGCAUGUACAUUUAGCAGUACUGUAUAAACUAUGGUUGUUUGUAUUUAUUUAAGCAGUGAAAGCUAAAAUUUGAGUGAAACUGUUUUUUUUUUCAGUGAAUGUAUCUUGAUUUUAUAUAAAAAUAGAAGUAACAUGGUAGAAAUUGUACAAAUGGUAACAUGUUAAGGUUGAAGAAUGAUAUGGACAAAAUAUUUUUUGUUUCUUUUUCUAGCUUUUAUACUUGUUGAUGUGCAUGUAAUUUAGUCAUCAUGUUAUAGGCAUGCACAUUUUACAAUUCGAAUUUGUUUUCCUCCACAUGGCCAAUAUCCUAAAAUUAUGUAUUGCAGAUUUAUGUAUGAUUUAAGGAUAAUGAAUGUUCUUAGAUUUAUUUUACAUGUAUUACCAGUGUAUGAUUUCCAUAUACAAGUACAUUUACUCUCUUAUGAAGCAUGAAUGCACAAUUGCUAUUAAUUUACAUGUACAUGUAUUAAAAACAUUAAUAUGAAUAAUUUAUAACUUUUUGUUUAAUAAACUAUUAUAACAUGAG